CCAGUAUCUUUCCAGGUAUCGAAGUUAGGAUGAUGGGUCUAUAAUUCCCCAGGUGGUCUUUGUUCCCCGUUUUUAAAAGGAAAUGAUUACAUCAUGUGUAAGAUGUUAAGCGACUCGUUCAAAGCUCUGAAAUGCUUCAAAAAUACUCUCCGAUGCUUGACAGGCCUUUCCUGAGCUGGUCCACAAAGGCUCUAUCUUCUCCUCAUUUAAAUCCCUCUUGAUGCCCCAAUUCUUCCAGGAUGCCUGCAAGGAACUAGUCUGAUCCAACUCUCAUUGAAGUCAAUGGGAAGACUCGUAUAAUGUCAGUGGAAGUUGGAACAAGCCUCCAGUUCUUUAUCUAUCUGAAUUGAACUGUUCCUCUGUGUGGAGGAAGGAGAUUGAAGUAGGGAAUUGGUGUGAGAGAAAGAUGAGAGCUGAAUUAUGGGGGGGGAAGCCAACCCCAAGAUCAAAAAAACCUAUUAUAUCCUGAUUGCUUUGCUUGUCCAUUGCAACCCUAGCCCCAUCCUCUGCCUGCCUUUUUGUUUUGCUCCUCAGGAUGUGAUGUCUCCAGGGUUGGAACAAAUUUAGCACCCAAAAUUGUGCUACCACAAUCUAAAUAACAAAUUAUUAUAACAGCAGUGGGACUGGUAGGGCUCACCUCACUAAAAAGAGGUUCACAACUUCUCCAUCACAGAUCUGGCAUUAGAGUUUUGUGUUUGUCGCCGGCAAUGGCCUCUGGCAAAAUCCUUGUUGGUGGUUGACGCAUCUAAAUGAGAAUUCCCCCAGGAGCUCAGCACAUCCUUCUCAGGGCACACAUGACUUGCAGGUGUGGUACCUGAUCCAACUGCAUCAGGAAUUUACUUGUGUUCUCUAGCUUCUGAAGAAAGCCUUGCCCCUCCCAAGUGUAUGCAUUACUGCAAACUCCCCUGCGCCCCAUAGUUUUCCUAAAGUAUUAUUCUUCACAUGAACUCUUAGCAAUCCACAUGGCUUCAGUAUUAAUGAAGCCUGUUGUUUCUUCCCUCACCCCCCCCCAGCCAAUGUAGAACUUUGGGCAGAAAGUGAAAUAGCAGCCCAUUGCGCAGCAGGACAGGAAAACAACGACAUGCCUCUGGCUCAGCAAUUGUGCUGAGUUAGCAAUCUCUCCUGCUGGGCAAUUACAAUGCAGAAAGCUUCAAUGCCAGCAGCAUUUGGGGACUACUACUUGUAUAUGUCAAUUGGCUCUUAACUACAGUGCAUAGUUUUUAACUGAAGAUGUCUCAGUAGGACGUCAGGCUGCUUGUCCUUGGAUGUUCACAUUGUCACUCAUGUAAGGUGGGCACUUCCCUACCUACGUGCUGGUUUGAAUGUCCCAGCUGUGGACAUCCUAUUAAAGAUAAUUUAGAAAAGUACAGAAACUAUUUGUACCCUUUUGGUUUAUUUAUGCUGCAUAAAGAGGACCUGAAAGGCCUUAAUACUUCUGGCUUGUCUCUUACAAAAGGAGUUCAGAUCUUAUCUAUGCUGUCUUUCCUGAAAGACCAGGGGUGAAAGUAACUUAAAGGACUUACUGGUACUCUGGAGUCCUUAGGAGGGGGCGGGGCCUCAACCAGAAGAGGCAUGGCCUCUACUGGAAGAGGCGGGGCCUUUAAAUCCCCAGGCACUUUAAAUCACCAUCGGAGGGGGCCCCGUCCUCUGGUGGAGCUUUAAAGGGCCCAGGGCUCCACUGCAGUAGUGGCAGCUGGGAUCCCCUGGCCCUUUAAAUCACCGCCCGAGCCCCCAGCUGCUGCUGCUACCCC